rnacentral:rRNA from 1 species
AUUGAACGCUGGCGGCAGGCCUAACACAUGCAAGUCGAACGGCAGCGGGGGAUAGCUUGCUAUCCUGCCGGCGAGUGGCGGACGGGUGAGUAAUGCAUGGGGAGCUGCCCAAUCGAGGGGGAUAACAACUGGAAACGGUUGCUAAUACCGCAUACGCCCUGCGGGGGAAAGGUGGGGACCUUCGGGCCUACCGCGAUUGGAUGCACCCAUGUGGGAUUAGCUGGGUGGUGAGGUAACGGCUCACCAAGGCGACGAUCUCUAGCUGGUCUGAGAGGAUGACCAGCCACACUGGAACUGAGACACGGUCCAGACUCCUACGGGAGGCAGCAGUGGGGAAUAUUGCACAAUGGGGGAAACCCUGAUGCAGCCAUGCCGCGUGUGUGAAGAAGGCCUUCGGGUUGUAAAGCACUUUCAGUGGGGAGGAAGGGGAGUAAGCUAAUAACUUGCUUCAUUGACGUUACCCACAGAAGAAGCACCGGCUAACUCCGUGCCAGCCGCCGCCGUAA